AUGCAUCUUUUCCACAGACUACUGACAGGAUGUAGCUGCCUAGACAGAAAUGACAUUUAUCAGUCCCCAUGCAUCCAGGCGGGGGGGAGUGUGCCCACAGCACGUGGAAGAUCCUGGGCCAGGGAUCGGAACAUGCACCACAUCUGUGACCCAAGCUGCUGCAGUGAUGAUGCCAGAGCCUUAACCCACUUUUUUUGCAAGGAGAGAACUCCCUUGAACAAUGCCUUAAUUCAUCUCUUCAUUUUGGCCUUACAGCAUGGACCAUGUCAGAGAAGAUGGAGACACCUUCACGGCCUGUUAGUCACAUCUCACCAAAGCUUCUCAAUGGGCUGUCAGACAAGAAAGGAGCCUCCUGUAGCCACCUUAAUCAGCAUCCCCCAUCUGUGAGGUCAUUGGGAUGUUUCAAACAAUUUUCAGCUCUCAUUAGUUGAGCGCGUUCCACAGGCAAGUCCUUAUCUUUUGUAACUUUUGCUGCCACAUCCUGAGAAAGCCUCUCUGCUGAAUGACACUUUCCCUAUGGGUCAACCC
rnacentral:lncRNA from 9 species